UCAUUAGUAGUUUAAAAAUAAAACAUAUGGUUUUGAACCAUAAAAUAUAAUUAAUAUUUUUUAAUGAUAUGAUAGUACGAUUUUCACCUUUUCAUUUG
rnacentral:tRNA from 1 species